rnacentral:rRNA from 1 species
GACGAACGCUGGCAGCGUGCUUAACACAUGCAAGUCGAACGGAAAGGCCCUGCUUUUGUGGGGUGCUCGAGUGGCGAACGGGUGAGUAACACGUGAGUAACCUGCCCUUGACUUUGGAAUAACUUCAGGAAACUGGGGCUAAUACCGGAUAGGAGCUCCUGCUGCAUGGUGGGGGUUGGAAAGUUUCGGCGGUUGGGGAUGGACUCGCGGCUUAUCAGCUUGUUGGUGGGGUAGUGGCUUACCAAGGCUUUGACGGGUAGCCGGCCUGAGAGGGUGACCGGCCACAUUGGGACUGAGAUACGGCCCAGACUCCUACGGGAGGCAGCAGUGGGGAAUAUUGCACAAUGGGCGGAAGCCUGAUGCAGCAACGCCGCGUGCGGGAUGACGGCCUUCGGGUUGUAAACCGCUUUCGCCUGUGACGAAGCGUGAGUGACGGUAAUGGGUAAAGAAGCACCGGCUAACUACGUG